rnacentral:lncRNA from 1 species
UCGUAGUCGUAAUUUUGUUGGUCGUGUUAUUUAUUGUUUAUGCUACAAAUUAGGUUGUCCUUCAAAAAUUUAUGAUGUUUCGUAUGAAAAAAAUGAUCAGUAAUUACUGAUGGAUAUUUAGUGGCUAUUUUUUUGUUGGAUCGGUUUUCUUACGUGAAUGCGAUAGUGACGCUGUGAACGGUUUUUGAGUCAGUUACUUGGUUACACUUGUGCGUUUUUGUCCCUGCUU